GCAAGUCGAGGGGUAACGGAAGUAGCUUGCUACUAGACGACGACCGGCGCACGGGUGAGUAACGCGUAUGUAAUCUGCCUUGUACAGAGGGAUAGCCCAGAGAAAUUUGGAUUAAUACCUCAUAGUAUUACUGGAUCGCAUGAUUUGGUAAUUAAAGCUCCGGCGGUACAAGAUGAACAUGCGUGACAUUAGCUAGUUGGUAAGGUAACGGCUUACCAAGGCUACGAUGUCUAGGGGUUCUGAGAGGAUGAUCCCCCACACUGGUACUGAGACACGGACCAGACUCCUACGGGAGGCAGCAGUGAGGAGUAUUGGUCAAUGGACGCAAGUCUGAACCAGCCAUCCCGCGUGAAGGAUGACUGCCCUAUGGGUUGUAAACUUCUUUUAUAUGCAAAUAAACCUACUUUCGUGAAAGUAGCUGAAGGUAGCAUAUGAAUAAACA
rnacentral:rRNA from 1 species